CCCAGGCAGGAGGCCGCGCCCCGGGAGGGGGUGUGGGGGCUCCGCGCCAUGCCCUGCCCCGCGUCCUGUUCUUUUGAUGGGAUCUGAGCAGAUGUUGCCCUUCUCUGUUGCCAAUGUGAAGUAUCAGAAGAGUAUCGUUUGAAACUUUCUGGGACAAAGAGGACUGUUUUAUUAUCUCUCAU